UACGGAGGGUGCAAGCGUUAUCCGGAUUCACUGGGUUUAAAGGGUGCGUAGGAGGGCAGGUAAGUCAGUGGUGAAAUCCCCGAGCUUAACUUGGGAACUGCCGUUGAUACUAUCUGUCUUGAAUAUUGUUGAGGUGAGCGGAAUAUGUCAUGUAGCGGUGAAAUGCUUAGAUAUGACAUAGAACACCAAUUGCGAAGGCAGCUCGCUACACAUAUAUUGACUCUGAGGCACGAAAGCGUGGGGAUCAAACAGG
rnacentral:rRNA from 1 species